rnacentral:rRNA from 1 species
ACAAGGUCCCAAGGGUCCGGCUGUUCGCCGGUUAAAAGGGUACGUGAGCUGGGUUUAGAACGUCGUGAGACAGUUCGGUCUCUAUCUGGUGUGGGCGUGCGAUACUUGCAGGGGAAAUCUUCCCAGUACGAGAGGACCGGAAGAUACAGACCUCUGGUGUUCCAGUUAUCCUGCCAAGGGUAAUGGCUGGGUAGCCAUGUCUGGAAAGGAUAAGCACUGAAAGCAUAUAAGUGCGAAGCUAACCUCAAGAUUAUGUAUCGUUUCCCUUCGGGGAUGAAGGCUCCUCGUAGACCACGAGGUUGAUAGGUCGCGUGUGUAAGACCAGUAAUGGUUUAAGCUAAGCGAUACUAAUAGGCCAAAAACUUGACCUG